AGAAAAUAUUAUGCAACUAUUUUGAUAAGUUUAUAAAUAUUUGAUUAAGCAUGCGUAGAUUGGAAUAAACAUAAUUUUAAUUUUACUCUGUAAUAAUAUGUGAAAAUUUGCACAAAUUAUAAUUAUUAUGACUUGUUACUUUUAAUACCUGCUGUUGUAAGUAUCUGUACUUUUAAGUAUGCACUUGUAAUUAAGAUACUUUGAUAUCAUAAAAUUAAUAUCUUAAUCAUAUUAAAAAACAAAAAUUAUUUAAUCAUGAUUUUGCUAUUGCCAUGAUUAUAUCAUGAAAAAGAGUCACAUAUCAAAUAAAUGCACAGUUCUCAAAAAAACUUGAUUACAAAUAUGAUGUCUAUUGGUUUUGUAUACAUGAUUCUAAGCAUAUAACAUUAGUAAGCUUUAAUUUCUUCUAUCAAGUAUAAGAAUAUUGUGAGAUCAAUAUUAGAAUGAAUUGUUAUAUUGAAAGGACAGUAUUGUAGUUAAAUCUCUUGUAUGUUAAUUAUUCUUAUAGUAAUACUUUUACUUUAAAAAAUUAAAUCUAUUGAUAAUUGUUAAAUUUUGAACUUAAAGUAAGGUAAUGUAUUAGAGUAAUACAUGUAGUUAUUAGAUUAAUUAUCCGAUUAAAUUCAAUUAGAAGGAGUAGUAAGAAAAAAAUUUGCUUAAAAUUUUUAGGUAGGUGUAAUUGUUGUUUUAAAAACAAUGUGCAAAUACUUAAAACAACUAUAGUAAAAUUAUUAUUUUUAUACAUAUUAUUUCUACACAGUUACAUCAAUGGCUUGUUUAAAGAUUUGAGCUAUCAGUCAACAAAUAAUUUCAUUAUUUUUUGCUUACAACUGAGAAUUGUUUAUUUAUUACUACAGUAGAACCUUAAUGAGGCAUAAUACAUUCUGUUCCCUCGAAUCUUAUUUACUCAAAAAAAAAAGUAUAGAUAAUACAAAGAAAUUAUUUAAAGUUUUAUAAUAAAUUAUUAAUAUAGUUAUAAACUAUCAAUAAACAAAUUGUUUUAUAUUAUGUAAUUUCAUAAAAUUAAAAAAAAAAAAUGAUUGUGAGAUUGGCAAAAUGCUAUAAUUUUUCAAUAAUAGAUUGCAAAAAAUAAAUAAAUCUAAUAGUAAUUGUUAAUUUU